rnacentral:rRNA from 1 species
UAAGACAGAGGGUGCAAACGUUGUUCGGAAUUACUGGGCGUAAAGCGCGUGUAGGCGGUCUAGCAAGUCGGAUGUGAAAGCCCUUGGCUCAACUGAGGAAGUGCAUUCGAAACUGCGAGACUUGAGUCCCGGAGAGGAUGGUGGAAUUCUCGGUGUAGAGGUGAAAUUCGUAGAUAUCGAGAGGAACACCGGUGGCGAAGGCGGCCAUCUGGACGGUGACUGACGCUGAGACGCGAAAGCAUGGGGAGCAAACAGG